GACGAACGCUGGCGGCGUGCUUAACACAUGCAAGUCGAACGGACAGGCCCGGCUUUUGUGGGUUGCUCGUUUGGCGAACAGGUGAGUAACACGCGAGUAAACUGCCCUUGACUUUCGGAUAACUCCAGGAAACUCCGGAGAAAACCGGAUAUAAGCUCCUGCUGCAUGGUGGUGGUUGGAGAGUUUCGGCGGUGGGGGCUGGACUCGCUGCUUAUCAGCUUGUUUGUGGGGUAGUGGCUUACCAAGGCUUUGACGGGUAGCCGGCCUGAGAGGGGUACCGGCGACAUUGGGACUGAGAGACGGACCAGAAUCCUACGGGAGGCAGCAGUGGGGAAUAUUGCACAAUGGGCGGAAGCCUGAUGCAGCAACGCCGCGUGCGUGAUGACGGCUUUCGGGUUGUAAACCGCUUUGGCAUGUGACGAAGCGUGAGUGACGGUAAUGGGUAAAGAAGCACCGGCUAACUACGUG
rnacentral:rRNA from 1 species